AUUGAACGCUGGCGGCAUGCUUUACACAUGCAAGUCGAGCGGUAACAGCACUUCGGUGGCUGACGAGUGGCGAACGGGUGAGUAAUACAUCGGAACGUGCCUAGUAGUGGGGGAUAACUACUCGAAAGAGUAGCUAAUACCGCAUGAGAUCUAAGGAUGAAAGCAGGGGACCUUCGGGCCUUGCGCUACUAGAGCGGCUGAUGGCAGAUUAGGUAGUUGGUGGGAUAAAAGCUUACCAAGCCGACGAUCUGUAGCUGGUCUGAGAGGACGACCAGCCACACUGGGAGUGAGACACGGCCCAGACUCCUACGGGAGGCAGCAGUGGGGAAUUUUGGACGAUGGACGCAAGCCUGAUCCAGCAAUGCCGCGUGCAGGAUGAAGGCCUUCGGGUUGGAAACUGCUUUUGUAAGGAACGAAAAGCCCUCUUCUAAUACAGGAGGGUCAUGACGGUACCGUAAGAAUAAGCACCGGCUAAAUACGUG
rnacentral:rRNA from 1 species